rnacentral:lncRNA from 1 species
CUGGCGGACUCUUCUGUCACGCUGCUGGCGGCGCUGCUCUUCCUCACGCAGCUCCUGGCGAAGCUCUUCUUCCUGGCGGACUCUUCUGUCACGCUGCUGGCGGCGCUGCUCUUCCUCACGCAGCUCCUGGCGAAGCUCUUCUUCCUGGCGGACUCUUCUGUCACGCUGCUGGCGGCGCUGCUCUUCCUCACGCAGCUCCUGGCGACGUUGGUCGGCCUCAAGCUGCUGGCGGAGCUCUUGUUCCUCACAGGAAUUUCUUCCGCGCUCCUGCCGAAGUUCUUUCUCACGUUCUUGGUGGCGCAGCUCCUCCUCCUCCUGGAAUUGUCUCUCUUGUUCUUGACGCCGCCUGUGUUCUUCCCGUCUUUUCCGCAGCUGCUUUUCCUCCUCAAGGAACUUUGCAUCCCUCUCCUGGGGCCGUCUUCUCGAGUCUCUCAGGAGCUGCUCUUCCUCCUGGAUGUUCUCAUCUCGCCUUCUGGCUUCCCUUUGGUGCUCUCGCUGCAGCUGCUCUUCCUCUAGCAACUGCCGGUCGCGCUGCAGUCGGCGCCUGGUCUCCUGCUCCAGCUCUCUCUUCUCUCCCGCUUCUUCUCGCAGAGGCCGCCGAUCCUGACGUAACCGUCUCUCUUGCUCCAGAGAAUCUUCCAGCUGCCGGGUCCUUUCUUCAUCCUGCCUGCGUUUGGAGAAGAGCCUGUGUCUGCGAGCUUCGUUUUCUUUCUCUGGUUGCCACUGCCAUUUCAGAUCCCUACGCUGAUCUACAUCCCGCAGCCGCUGCAGGUCCUCCUCUUGAUACUGCCUCCCCCGCUGCAGGCGCCUUCUUUCCUGCUGCAGCCGCUCCUCCUCCUGCUGCAGCAGCUCUUCCUCCUGCUGCAGCCGCUCUUCCUCCUGCUGCAGCCGCUCCUCCUCCAGUUGCAGCCGCUCCUCCUGCUGCUGCAGCCGCUCCUCCUCCUGCUGCAGCCGCUCCUCCUCCUGCUGCUGCAGCCGCUCUUCCUCCCGGAGGUAUUUCCUGUCCCGCUGCUGGCGCCGCUGCGCCUCUUCUUGCAGCAGCCGCUCCUCCCGUAGCUCCUCCCCGCUCUGCUGCCUCUGGCUGGGUUCGGCGUACCGCGUGUGGCACCUCUGGCUUUCUUCCUGCAAUUGCCGGCUCCUGCUUGCGUCCCGGCGACGCCUCUGGCGUUCCUCUAGGAGGCUAUCCUGGAGCUCCGCUCGCUGCAGCUCCUCCUCCCGGAAGCUCUGCUCC